rnacentral:lncRNA from 1 species
GAGUUAAAGACAGCUGUGAGCUGCUGCCAUGUGGUUGCUGGGAAUUAAACCCAGGUCCUCUGAAAAAGCAAUCAGUGCUCUUAACUGCUGAGCCAUUUCUCCAGCCCCAAUUUGCCGGCUCUUAAUGAUGAGUUACUUUGGGCAUCUUACAUGUAGCUGAUCGUCAUUUGUAUGUCUUCAUCUCAUGAAUGUUCACAUACUCAUUUCGUUUUGCUUACUUUAUUGGUUUCUUAAUUUUGAGACAGCCUCCCACCCAAACUAGCUUAGAAAUCAUUGAUCUGAAACAGUCCUCCUGUCUUUGCUGUGUUAAUAUAGGAGAGUUUUUAAAAAGGAAAUGAUCCAUAGGUAUGCAUUGCUUACAUAACUGAAGGACGAUCUUUCUAGUCCGAAUUUAUAUUCCACAUAGCAAUCGAUUUCCUUCCCACUUUUAUAGCCUUCUUUCAAACUGUUGUCACUUCUUACUUGGAUUAUACAAUACAGUAAUUUUCUAAUUAUUGUACUCAUAUUAGCUUCCUGUCCUACAUUGCAACAAAGUACGGGGACAUUGCAACAAAGUACGGGGCAAAAGCACUUAGAAGCUUAUUUUAGUUUAGAGUUCCAGGGAAUACAGUCUAUCACAGUGUUCUCAACCUUCCUAAUACUGCAACCCUUUAAUACAGUGCCGCUAUUUGUGUUGCUACUUCAUAACUGUAAUUUUGCUACUGUUUCAAAUCUGAUAUCCAGGAUAUCUGAUAGGCAGCCCCUUGGAAAGGAUCAGUCCACACAGCCCCCUCACCUCACCCCCACCCCACCCCAUCCAAAGGGUUGAGACCCACAGGUCAGGAAACGCGGUCCUGUCAGGGUUGCCAAGGUGACCCGAGCCGGAUGUGCUGCUCACGCUGAUGUUUCGCUUGCUUUCUCCUUUGCACGCAGUGCAAGACCCCAGCCCGUGGGGAUGCUUGCCGCUCACAGUUUGGGAGGGCCUCAGAACCUCAGUUACCUUAGUCUAGAGAAUCCCUCAUAGAGAAGCCCACUCAAGGUUAACCGUGGCAGUGUCUAUUCCAGCCACACCCUACUGUUUAGUUUUGUUGUCAAACCAGUCAGGAUGUACUUGGGAAUGUUUUCUCUCAAGUUGAGAAUUUAAAGUAAAAUAAUAUAUUCAGUAGAAACUUAAGUUCUUAUUGCCUGGAAUAAACAUGUUCGGUAGUUUGCCCUUUUUUUUUUUUCCUUAAAGAAUAAAAUCAUUCCAUAUAAAAAUAGAGCUGGUACCCUUAAUUUUCCUUAAGUAACCACCUUGAAAGUAGCAUAUAAGGCUGGAGAGACAGCUUAGCAGUUAAAAACACUGUCUGCUCUUCCAGAGGACCCAGGUUCAAUUCCUAGUGCUCACGUGGCAGCUCCCAACUGUCUAUAUAACUCCAGUUCAGGGAACCUAACAACCUCACCCAGACAUACAUGCAAACAGAACACCAAUGUAUAUAAAAUUAAUCAUUAAAAAGAGAACGUAGCUUAUAUCAUUGAUUAUUUUUCUGUAAAUGCUAUAUCUAUAUAGCAAUAUAACAAACAAUGUAUACUAUCACUUUUAUUUACCAAAAGGUAAGAUGUACUUUGUCUGUUCUAAUACUUUUAAAUUUUACCUGUUUUUGUUUGCUACCGUUGCUGUUUAUCUCAUGCAGAUAAACCAGCUUAUUGCUCUAUGUUCACAUUAUAUACAUGUAAUUACACAAUGUUCAAUUUUGAGCAAAUUGUGCUGUGAUAGAAAUUUUGGUUUGUCAUCUUAUCUUCAGUGUUUCUGAGAUUGAUAGAAGGAAACAGAAUUACUGGGAUCUCUCUCGCCUACCCCCAUUCCCUCCCUCUCUAUAUAUAUGCUCCCACAUACAUAGAAAGAUAUGUUUAUUAUAUUUUUCAAAGUGUAGCAAUUAUAUUGCUGCAGGUAAUUGUUAAUUUCUCUUUACUUCCAAAUUUGUUAAGAAGUAUUUUAAAUUUACAAUCUGCUAUGUGUGUAUCAAGUGCUACGCUGCUGUAAUUUGUAUUUUCCACAUUCGUAGUAGGCUAUGUUUUGAAAUGUUUCCUUUUGAUUGUUUUAGUUAUUUUGAGGCAGGGUUUCUCUGGCUGCCCAGGAACUUGCUCUGUAGACCAACCAGGCUGUCCUCAAACCCUAGAGAUCUGUCUACCUCUGCCUCCUAAGUGCUAGGAUUAAAGGCAGGGGCCACUACUGCCAGGCUCAGUUUGGAUAUAUUUCUAUCUUUGGUGAAUUGCCUUGUUUUUUUCUUACAAUGUAGUUGUCUUAGUUACUUUCCUGUUGUAAUAAAAACAGGACCAAGAGAACUUAUAGAAGUGGUUUCAUGGGGUUAUUGUCCAUGGUGUCAGAACUAAGGUAUGGCAGCGGGAACAGCUAAGAACUUCAUUUUGAAUCUCUUAAGUUGGAGACAGAGAGAACUAAAUGGGAUUGUUGCGAACUGUUGAAACCCCAAAGCCCGCCUAGAACAAAUCUUUCCCAAAUGGUUCCAUCAACUGGGGACAAGUAUUCAAUUAUAUGAGCCUAUGGGGGUCAUUCUCAUUUAAAUCCCCUUAGUAAUCAUUAAUAUAGAUCUUUAUAUUUGUAAUAGUGUCUAUAGGCUAUGAAUCUGGUUGGCUUUGUCAUAUUGCAGCAAGUGGCUUGUUUUCUUAUUUGAUUAGUUUUUGUUCAAAAAUGUAAUUGUAAUGUAAUCAUACCUGUUUUUGAAGAAGUGUUUUCUUCUUCAUUGUUUGAGUGUUUUAAUCAUGAAAGCAUACUGGAUUUUGU